AUUGAACGCUGGCGGCAGGCCUAACACAUGCAAGUCGAACGAGUGGCGGACGGGUGGGUAAUGUCUGGGAAACUGCCCGAUGGAGGGGGAUAACUACUGGAAACGGUAGCUCAUAACGCCUACUAUCGUAUGUGGACGGAGGGGAUGAGCUAGUAGGUGGGGUAACGGCUCACCUAGGCGACGAUCCCUAGCUGGUCUGAGAGGAUGACCAGCCACCCUGGAACUGAGACACGGUCCAGACUCCUACGGGAGGCAGCAGUGGGGAAGAUUGCACAAUGGGCGCAAGCCUGAGGCAGCCAUGCCGCGUGUAUGAAGAAGGCCUUCGGGUUGUAAAGUACUUUCAGCGAGGAGGCGUUACUCGCAGAAGAAGCACCGGCUAACUCCGUGCCAGCAGCCGCGGUAAUAC
rnacentral:rRNA from 1 species